GACGAACGCUGGCGGCGCGCUUAACACAUGCAAGUCGAACGGAAAGGCCUGCUUUCCCUUGUGGAUUGCGGGUACUCGAGUGGCGAACGGGUGAGUAACACGUGAGUGAUCUGCCCCCAACUUGGGUAUAAGCCUGGGAAACUGGGUCUAAUUCCCGAUAGGACUGCAGGGUGGUGUCUGUGGUGGAAAACGAUUUUCUAGUGGUUGGGGAUGAGCUCGCGGCCUAUCAGCUUGUUGGUGGGGUAAUGGCCUACCAAGGCGGGGACGGGUAGCCGGCCUGAGAGGGUGGACGGCCUCAUUGGGACUGGGAUACGGCCCAGACGCCUACGGGAGGCAGCAGUGGGGAAUAUUGCACCAUGGGCGGAAGCCUGAUGCAGCGACGCCGCGUGGGGGAUGACGGCCUUCGGGUUGUAAACUCCUUUCGACCGCGAGGAAGCCACCUGGUUGGAAGGGUGGUGACGGUAGUGGUAGAAGAAGCACCGGCUAACUACGUG
rnacentral:rRNA from 1 species